rnacentral:sRNA from 12 species
AGGCUGUGAAGCAGUGGGUUGGGUCGGUAUUAGUCGAUUGCAGAGCCAGACCGUGGGUUGUGCGGGUACAAUAAGCCGAAUAAGCGGCGGAAAUGCUGCUGAAAGAAAACGCAAAAA